AGAACGAACGCUGGCGGCAUGCCUAAUACAUGCAAGUCGAACGAAGGCUUCGGCCUUAGUGGCGCACGGGUGCGUAACGCGUGGGAAUCUGCCCCUUGGUUCGGAAUAACAGUUGGAAACGACUGCUAAUACCGGAUGAUGACGAAAGUCCAAAGAUUUAUCGCCAAGGGAUGAGCCCGCGUAGGAUUAGCUAGUUGGUGAGGUAAAGGCUCACCAAGGCGACGAUCCUUAGCUGGUCUGAGAGGAUGAUCAGCCACACUGGGACUGAGACACGGCCCAGACUCCUACGGGAGGCAGCAGUAGGGAAUAUGGACAAUGGGCGAAAGCCUGAUCCAGCAAUGCCGCGUGAGUGAUGAAGGCCUUAGGGUUGUAAAGCUCUUUACCGAGAUGAUAAUGACAGUAUGGAGAAGUACGCCCGUAUAACUCCGUGCCAGCAGCCGAC
rnacentral:rRNA from 1 species